AACGAACGCUGGCGGCAUGCCUAACACAUGCAAGUCGAACGAGGCCUUCGGGUCUAGUGGCGCACGGGUGCGUAACGCGUGGGAAUCUGCCCUUAGGUUCGGAAUAACAGCUGGAAACGGCUGCUAAUACCGGAUAAUGUCGGCAGACCAAAGAUUUAUCGCCAGUGGAUGGGCCCGCGUUGGAUUAGGUAGUUGGUAGGGUAAAGGCCUACCAAGCCGACGAUCCAUAGCUGGUCUGAGAGGAUGAUCAGCCACACUGGGACUGAGACACGGCCCAGACUCCUACGGGAGGCAGCAGUGGGGAAUAUUGGACAAUGGGCGAAAGCCUGAUCCAGCAAUGCCGCGUGAGUGAUGAAGGCCUUAGGGUUGUAAAGCUCUUUUACCCGGGAUGAUAAUGACAGUACCGGGAGAAUAAGCUCCGGCUAACUCCGUG
rnacentral:rRNA from 1 species